rfam:Ktedonobacter sp. 13_1_20CM_4_53_11 13_1_20cm_4_scaffold_863, whole genome shotgun sequence.
AAUAGAAUAAUGAAGUAACCGAAGACAGCAAGUAUGCCACCUGGCAUGUAAAUGACAAUAAUUAUGUCGGCUUGCCGAGGAAAUGUAUAAGCAAUCUACCCUGGCAACAUCUCGAUGAGUCACGCGUUGCCUGCUAGAACAUAUACUACUUACCCAUAGCCUUCGGAAAAUCACCGAGGGCUUUUUUUAUGGUAUA